AGUAGUAGAGUGGGCUAAUGAAAUCGUGAAUAUUCGUUGCAUCAUUUUUAUUUCAGAGGAUUAAAUUGAAGUGUGUUUACUUAAGGUUUAUGUUUUCACCUAGAACAUGCUCGCUGGUUGAUAGAGAUCUUUUUUUUUGUAUCACGUGAUCAAAUUGUGUAACGUAUAAUAGUGAAGUUCAGCAACUGAAGUUGAUCACCGCAGAUAUUUUAUCAGGUGUUCAGGGUCUUCGUUUUUGUGAAGUAACAAAGAAGUUGGCUGUAUUUACAAUGAUGUGGUUCGAAUUUCACAGCCUUUUUAAUAGCAAGUGGAGCAAAAACCAAAGAAUAUUUGACAAUUCGAGACGGUAGUGGCACAUACUGUCUGUCACAUCUAGAGUAUAUUAUCAUAUUUAUUACACGAAGCAAUUGAGGGCAACAUUACUAUUGAAGUGUUGUGUUCCAACCACAUGGUUAUCAUUUUUUGUUUAAAAUUUGGUAUUCAAAUUCCAAGGUAAUUUCCAAAUUUUUCUGAAAAAAAAAAGAUUACAGCUGUCAAUGCCAUUCCUAAAAAAAGUGAAAAAAAUCUGUAGUCCAUCCCCAUAACUGCUUGAUUGUUUGAAAAGAUGUUCUCAUGUUAUCAACGUCAUCCCAAUUAUUCUAUCACACCACUAAAAAAAUUUUAAAAACGAUGAAACACUGGAACAAAUUCCUGACAAUCAUUGGAUGAUUAUUGCUGUAAUUACCGCGCAGUUGGAUUCAUCCCCAAAGAGACUCAAUUUCCGGUGGUGCUGGAGAUAAAAAAAAACAUAAAAAUUUUUCAUUUCCCGCAAGAUCCGAGCGAUCUAGACCGCAUCAGGCCGUCAUGAUUGAUGGUACAAAGGAGUUUCCACAGUAUACAUUCACCACAAGAGUGAAUGCAUGCAAUGUUCAAGCGCGUCCAAUCACUCGCUGCCAGGAACAAUAGAUUGAGCCUCUCCUGCUUCUCUCAAGAGUGUUUCAUACCCAAAACAAAGAAUAAAAAAAAAAUAAAACAGGGGUUCGCUUCUUGUCUCGUCACACCACCCGAUGUAAAUACUGAUUCGCAAUGACUUUCCGUUCAUCUCUCCCUCUUCAUCCAUAAAAGUGGCGUGUGCUUUUCUCCGUGUGAAAGCAAAGCGAUCUCAAACCACAGGAGAGGCUGAACCAGACGAGGGGAAAUGCCAGGGCAAUCAAACAACGCCCAGAGUAAUCAGAGAUGGGACUGGUGUCUAAUCAAGUCAGAGUGAUGCGUCCAUCAAGGAUCCUUCAUUAUUUGGUGUGAAAUCUAAUGGAGGAAGGGGAAACAUCGCGAAAAGAGAGGCCUCCUCGUCAUCGAGAAAGAAACAAAUUAAUCAUCAAUGAUAAAGGGACAGCAGACCGAGGGGCAAAUGAGUGACGUGUUCCGGGCGAGCGACACAAUCGCUCUCCAUUGUGGUGUCACCUAUACGUCUGGAGCUUUUAUGAUGCCGCGCGUGAACUCAGAGGUUCGGGGGCUUCCUCACUUGCUGAUUUGAUUUAUGAGGAGUAAUUGCACGUGGUUCGCUUGGCAUCAUCGCCUAUAAGCCUCUUGCUUUCAAUAAUUGGAGCCUCCAGGCGGAUGGGGAACACGCCUUGGUAACUGCCAAGUGUCUGCUCUCUUCACACUGGGAUUAUGACGAAAAAUUGCCAGAUCAACUAUCAGGGGUUGUAAUUGAAUAUAUUUUUUCAGGGUCGUUGAGAGUUCCGUUGAAAAAUUUCCAGAAUUUGUGAGUAGAACGAGCAGUGUAAAAUUCUGCACAACUGUGGAAUAGCCCUUGCCAUCGAACCACUCGACAUCUGAGUCUGCACGGUUAUUUGAGUUUGCUCUGGCCAAGUGCAUAAGAGGAUAACCGCGAAGGAGAAAAUCACGUUUGAAUUGCAGCUAACCUCCACCUAUCCCCAGCAAACUCGUCCACCAUCGCCACAACGUCGGCUUAUUUAUUCCCGGAAAUGCCUGAGCAGCGAUUUGUUAAGCAAUUGUUAGGUACCCCUUUUCACUCUGGAAUUGCCCCCCAUCCUCAUCGACAAACACUGGUUUUCCCGGUGCAUACAGAAUCAUAGAGACCGAAUGGCACGAUGGGAACGCGACCGAGACUCUCAUCGAGCUCCUGAAUAAUACAAAUGUCUAAACUACCGCUCCACAACUUCCUCACAUUUCUGUUCUCGUUUUCUCAACGCUCACGAUGAUUCAUCUCCUUUUAUUUAUUUACAUACGCUUUUUCUCUCACAAUGUAUCUUGAAACGGCUGUGCAUUCUGCCAAUCAUUGCAUACCAGGCGAUAUUAAAAGUCUCAUACCGGAAAGCCAUCCAGAGUCCUGCGAUGGGGGCCAAAUGCCAAGAGAGAUCGCUGACAGUUAGGAGGUAUCAUAAAUCCUCGAAACAGCUUCACCACGCUGGGAAGCUACCGAACAUUCCUUCAGAUGUCAUCCAUCACUAAAAAAUAUUCCGGAGAUGACGCGACUACAGCCAACACUCUUGAAAUAUGUGCGAACAUCAUGCAUUUUGGAAAGGAACGGAAAUAUCUCCGAAAUUGGUGAGGAGUUGUGAAAUAAAAUAUAUCUGACCUCUCA